rnacentral:rRNA from 1 species
ACGCUCGACACCUACGGGAGGCAGCAGUGGGGAAUAUUGCACAAUGGGGGAAACCCUGAUGCAGCGACGCCGCGUGAGCGAAGAAGUAUCUCGGUAUGUAAGCUCUAUCAGCGAAGGGAAGAGAGUGACGGUACCUGACUAACGAAGCACCGGCUAAUACGNGCCAGCAGCGCGGUAAGUCGUGGAGGCGGGCUGGCAAGGC